AGCGAACGCUGGCGGCAGGCUUAACACAUGCAAGUCGAGCGGGCAUCCUUGUGGUGUCAGCGGCAGACGGGUGAGUAACGCGUGGGAACGUGCCCUUCGGUUCGGAAUAACUCAGGGAAACUUGAGCUAAUACCGGAUACGUGCGAGAGCAGAAAGGUUUAUCUGCCGAAGGAUCGGCCCGCGUCUGAUUAGCUAGUUGGUGAGGUUAUGGCUCACCAAGGCGACGAUCAGUAGCUGGUCUGAGAGGAUGAUCAGCCACACUGGGACUGAGACACGGCCCAGACUCCUACGGGAGGCAGCAGUUGGGAAUAUUGGACAAUGGGGGCAACCCUGAUCCAGCCAUGCCGCGUGAGUGAUGACGGCCUUAGGGUUGUAAAGCUCUUUUCUUCGGGACGAUAAUGACGGUACCGGAGGAAUAAGCCCCGGCUAACUUCGUG
rnacentral:rRNA from 1 species